CUGGGGGGUCCUACUACCACUUUGGAAUCGAAAAUGCUCUCAUAGCUGAACUAACAUCUUUAGGACAUUUAGCAAAUGUGACUGAUACUCUCACACUUCGAAUUAACAUCGAUGGAUUGCCCUUAUUCCGUAGCUCCAGUUUGAGUCUGUGGCCUAUUCUGGGUAUGAUUAAGGAAAUUCCAGAGUGUAGUGUCUUUGUAAUUGGAGUGUACUCUGGUGUGUCCAAACCCGCAAAUGUGCAAGAGUAUUUACAAGAAUUCAUUGUAGAUAUGAAAGCAAUUUCUCAGAGUGGUAUUGUGUACAAUGGUGUACAUUUCAGGGUACCAUUACCUGAUGCUUUUAUUUGUGAUGCACCUGCUCGUGCCUUUCUUAAAUGCUCCAAAGGCCAUACGGGCUAUUAUGGGUGUGAGAGGUGCACUCAAAAAGGCCAGUACAUUAAUGGGAAGGUGGCUUAUCCUGAAAUAUCAGCAGAGCUCAGGACAGAUGAGCAAUUUGGCAGGCAAGGCUAUCAACAGCACCAACUGUCAGCCUCCCCCCUAAAUGACCUGGGUAUAGGUUUAGUUACCAGUUUUGUGUUAGAUUAUAUGCACCUUGUCUGCUUGGGGGCAAUGCGUAAGUUAAUAUUUCUUUGGUUGAAGGGGCCGCUGAAAUGCAGGCAAUCUAUGAAGUUUUUUGUUGUAAUGUCAGCAUAUAUGGUUUCUAUCAGGCAAUAUCUACCUAGCAAUUUUGCAAGGAAACCACGAUCCUUGUUUGAAUUCAGCACAUGGAAAGCUACAGAGCUUCGGCAAUUUUUACUUUACACUGGGCCUGUUGUUCUCCUCAAUAAUAUACCCAGUAUAAUGUACAGAAACUUUUUACUUCUAUCAGUAUCUAUGAGAAUACUUCUGAGUCCGGCCUUAUGUUCUCCUGACAAUUGUGACUAUGCUGAGGAGAUUUUGAAACUCUUUGUAACAGAUUUUGCUGCAAUUUAUGGUGCUGAAUUUGUCAGCUAUAACAUGCAUUCAUUGAUCCACCUAGCUCAAGAUGCACGAAAUUUCGGCCCGUUAGAUAGUGUUUCAGCUUUUCCCUUUGAGACAUUUUUAGGUAAACUGAAAAAACUUGUCCGUCGGCCUCAAAACCCUGUCCAACAACUCGUCAGGCGAAUCCAUGAGAAGCAGAAAGUGGCAAGCCAAAAGACCACAUCAGUUUUCAGCCCACUUAAACAGCUCCACUUUUCUGGACCAUUGAUUAAUUCAAUUGCAACAUGGGAACAAUACAGGCGUUACAAUGAUGGACAGACACUGAUCUCCUCCUCUCGUGGCGAUGACUGUUUUUCUGUAGGGGGAAGGAUUCUUAUUGUGCGGAACAUUUUGUCACAUUCUGGAAUUGUUAAAGUCCUGUGUAAUUUCUUUGAAACUGCCAAAUCCUUUUUCACCUAUCCAAUGGACUCAUCAUGUCUUGGAAUUCUUUUUGUUUUUAAUUUAUCUGAAGACUUGCAGCUGUUACCUGUGGAGGAGUUAAAAACAAAAAUGGUGUUAUUGCCACUCAAGACUGGAUACGUGGCAUUGCCACUCCUGCACUAGUGUGCUAUUUAUUAUUAUUUUUUAUUGUUUGUUUUAAUUUUUUUUUGUAUGUAUUUGUUUUUCUUUAAGCAUGUUACCUUUCGCGAUAGUUGAAUUUAUAAAUAGUGGAGGAUUGGCAGUUAUACCGACCAAGUGGUUUAUCGGGCCUGAGGAGGAUGAAUGCUACUGGCCACCAGCAAGGAUGAACAUGGCAAAGGCGGUCAUAGAGCAACAGGACCCUCACACUGACUGGGCGACAUACAAGUUGACUGUCAAGAGAAAAGUCGCAACGUAUGAAAUUGCCCGCACAAAAUUAGUCGAGUAUGAACAGAACACAGAUGUACCAACCGAAUCUGAUUCUACAGAGAAUAUGGGAAGGGGGAGGCGCAAAAAGAG